CCUACGGGUUGCACCAGUGGGGAAUAUUGCACAAUGGGCGCAAGCCUGAUGCAGCCUUGCCGCGUGUAUGAAGAAGGCCUUCGGGUUGUAAAGUACUUUCAGCGGGGAGGAAGGUGUUGUGGUUAAUAACCACAGCAAUUGACGUUACCCGCAGAAGAAGCACCGGCUAACUCCGUGCCAGCAGCCGCGGUAAUACGGAGGGUGCAAGCGUUAAUCGGAAUUACUGGGCGCAAAGCGCACGCAGGCGGUCUGUCAAGUCGGAUGUGAAAUCCCCGGGCUCAACCUGGGAACUGCAUUCGAAACUGGCAGGCUGGAGUCUUGUAGAGGGGGGUAGAAUUCCAGGUGUAGCGGUGACAUGCGUAGAGAUCUGGAGGAAUAUCGGUGGCGAAGGCGGCCCCCUGGACAAAGACUGACGCUCAGGUGCGAAAGCGUGGGGAGCAAACAGGAUUAGAUACCCCGGUAGUC
rnacentral:rRNA from 1 species